ACUCCUACGGGAGGCAGCAGUGGGGAAUAUUGCACAAUGGGCGCAAGCCUGAUGCAGCCAUGCCGCGUGUGUGAAGAAGGCCUUCGGGUUGUAAAGCACUUUCAGUUGUGAGGAAGGUGGUGUCGUUAAUAGCGGCAUCAUUUGACGUUAGCAACAGAAGAAGCACCGGCUAACUCCGUGCCAGCAGCCGCGGUAAUACGGAGGGUGCGAGCGUUAAUCGGAAUUACUGGGCGUAAAGCGCAUGCAGGUGGUUUGUUAAGUCAGAUGUGAAAGCCCGGGGCUCAACCUCGGAACUGCAUUUGAAACUGGCAGACUAGAGUACUGUAGAGGGGGGUAGAAUUUCAGGUGUAGCGGUGAAAUGCGUAGAGAUCUGAAGGAUACCGGUGGCGAAGGCGGCCCCCUGGACAGAUACUGACACUCAGAUGCGAAA
rnacentral:rRNA from 1 species